AAUUUUAGUUAUUCGGCUUUUUGGCAACUUUCAGAACCAAACUGACCAUUUGCACACCUCAAACCUCUAAUUUACAUUGCUAAAGAAUUAGUAGCACAACAGGAGAAUUUAAUAUUACCACCAAACACCCUAGAAAGCCAUUUCAUUAUUAAAGAAACUAACGUACAGGGACAGAUUUUGAAAAUUUCCAGGCUCAAUUACUAACCAUAAGACUGCCACCUUUUCUCCAUUUCUUUUUCACAGCACCUAACAACCCACAUGAUAGCCAUAGUCUCCUUUUAGUCUUUUCUCCAAUAGGAUCCUGACACUGUUCGUUGCAUCUAAGAAGAAUUU
rnacentral:misc_RNA from 1 species